AGGAACGGGCAUUUCAUCCUCUUCUCGUGGUUAGUUGGUGAUCUAUUGAAGAUCGUGUGGUCUUACUUUGGGCCGUGACUCUGCUACAACGAGGAAAAAUCUUAAGCUUAUUAUUUCUAACAUUUUUGUUGAGCCAUGUUGAUUUUUACAUUGUUGCAUUUUUUUGGUUGGCCAAGCUGGAGUUGGUUGAAAGACCUGUGCUCCUCCUCGUUCUCCUCCACGUGGCUAGUUGAGAUUUCGUUUGAAGACUAUUUUUGGUGAGUUCCCAUGUUUUGGGAACAAUACUCCUUUAUCUUUUUAGCUUAUGAUAUGUUGAGAUCUUUAGACACUUACUAUGGUAUUUAUUUCUAUUAUGAUUAAGGGUGAGCUAGGUACUUGUCUUAGCCCCGUUAAAUCUAAAAGUUAGAGGUAUUGUUGGACAUAUAUAAGUUG